AUUUCGCCAAAUGGUAGUUGUCACAGAUCCUCCAUUGCUCUCAUCCCUCAAACUCAUUUCUAGGGUUUCGCCCAACACCGCCAUCGACGAUCGUCUCCUUCUCAUGGACGGAAGCCACAUCACCGCUAGUCGCAGACCCUUCGCCUCGUCGCGUUUCGAUUCCAGAAGACGGAGAUUUGCGUCUCGGAUCUCCAAUACGGCGUGCCGUUUCAGGUUCCAGAUACCACUCCGGCCUUCGAUUCGAUCGAUAUGAGUGAUGCCGAUUGGGAGUUCAUUUCCGAGGAGCACGAACGAUGCUGAGCUAGAUGCCCAUAACUGGGGAGUUGUCACAACAAAACAUCGAAGAUCGUUGUUGAUUUCGGUAUGUGUUCAAUGCUUCAUAGUUCAUACCUUCAUGUAUUCAAUCUAAUAAGCAAUGAUGAGUGUGUGGUGGUGUGUUUUAUCCUUAUAUUUACGGUCACCGAUUGCUUUUGGCUUUUGAAAAGUUGUGAAUGUGUUUGUUGAAGAUCAUUGAUGCUGAUGUUUAAUAUUUCCGUUUGGUUAUUUUCUCAGACUGAAAUUAUAGAGCGGAAAUUCAUAAUAGAAAUUUGGUCUCGUUUUUCCAAUUAUGAAGUGAUCCUACUCACAUUGGACCUAGUGCCCAGGUGGUUUGGCCAAUAGUGGGUCAAGAAAUAUUGAAUGGUGAUGUAGUAGGCGGGGGUUUCCGAGGAAUACAAAUAACCUCUGGGUUUUUUCAGCUUUGGCGAGCAUCUGGAAUAACUAGUGAAUUACAACUCUAUUGUACUGCAAUUGGUGCAUUGGUCUUUGCUUCCUUAAUGCUUUUUGCGGGUUGGUUCCAUUAUCACAAAGCUGCUCCGAAAUUGGCUUGGUUCCAAGAUGUAGAAUCUAUGUUGAAUCACCAUUUAGCAGGGCUAUUAGAUGCCAUUUGGUUAUUUUCUCGAUCAGACUGAAUUUAUAGUGGAAAUUCUUAGUAGAAAUUUGGUAGAUGCAGUUGCCUUGCUUGAGUAAGUAGAUUGGUCUUAUUUGCUGUAUAUGGGUUUGUUUGUUGAUGUUCAUCGUUUGUGAUAUUUAAUGUAUACUACUUAAUAUGUGCUUAGAUGUAAAUAAUACUCUCUUGUUGCAAAUAGAUAGAACUGUUACCUUGCAUGAGUAGGUACAUGAGUUCCAUAGUUUUUUCUUUUUAUCAGUUUGUUAUUUUGACAGCAAUGGUAUUACUGUGUCUUUGAAGUGAUAAGAGAUGUGGAUAAUUUGAUUUCAUAUAGCUAAGAGACAUAGAUGAGUUAGAAUGUUGUUUUAUCUAUGUACCUGUUGUAUGUGGGCCGUAGCGUUGUUUUCUACUAUGGUCAUGAUGUUCAAGCCUUCAGAUUUACAAUCAAAUUGCAGGAGGUAGCACAAGAUGGGCUGUUAGCUGCCUAGAUUUAUUCUUUUUGGUUGUCUACUUUUUCAGUUUCUUCAGCUCCAUCUUUUUAUUUUUAUUUAUUUAUUUAUUUUUUUAUAUCUCUUUUUUCAAAAUCAUGUCAGUUUAUUUGGUUAUGUACUUAUGUUAAGUAACGGGGGAGUGAGGGGUUCCGGCAAAAUAAUAUUGCUUACUUGUACUUUGCUUUACUGAUAUAGAUGUCCAUUCUGACUCACAAAACAUUGGUUUCAGUAGAUUUGAACUGAUGGAUCCUUCCUGCAAGUUGGCUGAAAGCAUGAUCAGUAUGUUUUGAUAAGAAACAGGUAAGAGAAAGUUAUAUGUAUAUUAUUUGCCAGAGUUUUUCAUAUAAGCAUUGCAUUAUUCCCUUUACUGUAUUUAUGAAGAAAGAUUUGUUUCUGUUUUGUCAAACAAUGUGAUGGUCGUUAGUUGGGUAUCAGUCUGGCCCUAUGGUGAUCUCACUUUAGUUCCUUUUACUUUCUUAUGUCCAACCUUGCAGUCCCAUAACUAUGAUGGGGGUCGGGUUCAUUUUAUUUUGUGAACUUUUUUGAUAUCCUUAGUAUGUGUAUAUAUCAUUUUUCAAUUUUUUUCAUCUUCUGUUUGCUAGGUGAUCUGGAAUUUGAUAAGUAGUUGAAGUAGAGCAAAACAUAGCGUUACAUAGUUUACCCAAGGCUCAUUUAAGGCUUAAUAAAGGUAAUAAUUAAACAUAAGUUACAGAGAUUUUUACUGCUUUUGGCAUUGGUUUGGGUUAGCAUUUCUUAUUUUCUAUUAUUUAUAUACAAAUACUUGGGCGCAUUAAAGAAAUAUCGAGGACAUGAAUUUUGAUUUGUGGGUAUGUUUUUCAAGUAUAAUGUUUUAAUGAGUGCAUUCCCUUGUCUGUAAUUUCCGUUUCGGCUGUUAAACUGUUAGUAAUGCGUUUAUGAUCAAUUCCAUGAAGUUUCUUUUCUUUAUUGAUACUGUUUUAUUUUAGAGUGAAAAAGAUAGUAUUUGCUUGUCUUGUCUUGGUAUUGUGCCUCUAGGGAUGCUGACUUGUUUGUUCCUUUUUAAAUUUAGCUUCUGUUCAAGUACAAUCACAUCUGUUACGGUAUUCCAUUUCCAUUAUUGCUGUAUCGUCUCUGUUUCUGAAAUGGCGUGGCCAAUUGGUAUUGCUGGACUCUGGGAUGCAUUUUUAACUAUUUUGUAUUACAA